GGGCAAUUGGCGCAGCUGGUAGCGCACUUGAUCGACAUUCAAGGGGUCGUGGGUUCAAGUCCCUCAUUGCCCA
rfam:Candidatus Melainabacteria bacterium GWA2_34_9 gwa2_scaffold_15031, whole genome shotgun sequence.